AUGUCGUGUGGAAGCAGAAGCCACACUUCCUGGGUGACUCCUCUGGCCAGCCCAGCAGGGCCCCUCAGAUGAGGGCUGCUCCCAGAAGGCCACCUGCAGCUCAGCCCCCAGCAGCAGCUUCACCAUCUCCAGUUGACUCACCUGCUGCUGCGCCCAGGCAGCCAGGCCUGAUGGCCAAGAUGGUUUCCACUGCAGCCGGUGUGGCUGUGGGCUCUGCAGUGGGGCACACACACCCUGGGCCAUGCCAUCACUUCAGCGGAGUUGGUAAUGCUGAGACUGCAAAGCCCGACAUCACUUACCAGGAGCCUCAGGGAGCCCAGCUUCAGGACCAUCAGUCUUUUGGACCUUGCUCUCUAGAGGCCAAGCAGUUUCUGGAGUGUGCUCAGAACCAGAGCAAGGUCAAGCUCUGGGGCUCUGGGAGGGCUUCAACAAGGUGCUGUGGCAGUGCAGGAUUGCAAAUGGUUUCAUCUAAUCAAGAACUUCAAGCUGAAGAGAUGUAAGCGUGGUUCUGUAUAAGUGAUAGUACAAGCGUGGACCCUUAUUUCUAACAGCUCCAGUGCUUUGGAAUGGAUAUGAAAGAAAUCUAACUGUAGAUGUUUACUGAGGCUUGUAGUGUUGGUUACUGGGCAAGUGUUUGGCCUCCUUGAACUAACUGUAUUGUGAUUGUGAGUUUUAAAAA